rnacentral:lncRNA from 10 species
AAGUUAAGAUUGCCACCUGGAAACUUUGGGCUCCUCUUACCUUUAAGGCAACAGGCUAAGAAAGGAGUUACAGUGUUAUCUGGGGUGAUUGACCAGGACUGUGAAGAUGAAAUCAGUCUACUACUCCACAACGGAGAUGGAGAUGGUCAAGGGGUUACCGCCAGUCUGUUUCUUGCGCUGAUAAUUUUUCUAGACAUUAAAUCUCACCAUUUGUUCCCAACAAAGAAAGAAAGACAGGACCACCAGACUCUACAGGGUGAUCUGACACUAACAACUUAACAACCAUUCUACUGAGUCAACAAAUUUCUCCUCUGUGUACAGACUUCAACCGAAGAAUCUAAUACUACUGUGAAGUGCUGCUGGGCAGGACACACGUUCAGGAGACACAGUAGGGGAACAGAUGAGGCCAGAGUGGCCCACAGCCGGGGUGAAGAGCCCCCAAUUAUUUAUAAAGUGUUUGCUGCCUCAUUUAUGAAAAUAAAUAGUGCAAAGCUGU